UCCUGGCUGGCUCAGUCGGUGGAGUAUGUGACUCCUGAUCUCAGGGUUGUGGGUUUAAGCCCCACGUUGGGAG